AACACGUUCUCGAACGGCCUAAAAAUCCACCCACGACCUUCCUGUGCUCCCCCGUCCUCCUCCUACGCCCCCCACCGAUAGCCUCCUCCCGUGGCCCCGCCGCCGGCCUCCUCCCGUGGCCCCGUCGCCUGCCUCAUCCCGCGGAUGCGCCGGCGGCCUCAUUCCGCCCAAUCCGCCAUGCGUGCAGCCCCCUGUGCCUCCACAAACGCCGUCGCUCAUCGCGGCUGCCAUCCGCCUCCACCAGCACGUCGACCACAACGCCCCCUCUUCCCACGCGCCUCCGCCAUGACCUCUCCUCCCCGAAGCUCCCCGCGCGUGGCCGCCAAGUCCUGUCCUCGACGGAUCCGGCCAACCACUCGCCGCCGGCCGCGGGUCCCACGCACACGCAUCCGGCCGCAGAUCAUUGCCCCCACCACGGCGUUCCCUCUGCACCACCUCGGGUCAUUCCCCUACUACCUCACCGCCACGCGCCGCCGCCGAACCAUCCCGAUCCCCACAGCCUGCCUCACGUCGCCCGCAACCUCCGCGCUAGCCGUCCGCGCCGACCUCCGUAUGCUGCAGCUACCCACUGCUGCCCCGCGCAGUGGCGACCUCGGACCACCAUGCGUAGCCAUGGCUCACUUCCUGGCAGUAGACGUGCAUCUACCACGGCAGUGCUCUGCACAUCCACGGUUGUUGGUAACUAUGCGCCCCUACCUGACCUUCAUUGGGUGCUAGCCGUGGCCUUCAUCGCGUGCGUCAGACCACAGAUCAGAAGUUCAGGUUGUUCUGGUAGCGCGGGCGAACAUGCACCCUCCACUCUGCUGUGCGUGAGAAGGCACAUGGGUAAGUGGCCUAGGUAGAGAUUGAGAUGCACUGAACUUCUUGGACUAGGUCAUGGUGGAGCAGCCCCUGCUCUAGUUCUCUCAUCGGCUCGGCCUGUUCUUGGUGGAAUUGGUCAACAGGGAACAACAGGUCGGCUUGUACGCGGCUAAUGAUAGUCCAGUUACAGGGUAAACAACAGGUCGGCUUGUACACGGCCUACUAAUAGAGUAAAAUUGCUGCUGCUGCGUUAAAGAUGGCCCCAAAUGAAGCACGAUCUAGCCGCUGUACUACUUGUUCUACUGUACAUUGUGCCUUUUGUUUGGUGGAUGAGCUACUGUUUUGCUAGCUUUGGGCAUUGGCUGCUACAUCACAUGGAGCCAUGGAGAAGAAAAAUGGAUAAGAGAGAGAUGAUGCGGUGGUUAGAAAAUACAAAUAGGAGAGGACAAGAGCAACCUUGUGGUGGAAAACACCCAACAUUCGCACCUUAUAUAUAUAUAAGAGCUCCAGAAUUGUGAUUUCGAGAUGGAUCAAAGUUAGGUACACAAAUAUAUGAUGCAUCCA